AGGGCUGUUGCUCAGUGGGAGAGCACCUGUCUGGCAUGCACAAAGCCCUGGGUUCAAUUCCCAGCACUACAA
rnacentral:tRNA from 1 species